rnacentral:lncRNA from 1 species
AUGGGUUUGCUCGGUUGUUUGGGUGCCUGCUGGGUUUGCCUUCCCAUACAGCCACCACUCCCCUGCCUCACCCCCCCGGAUCGGGGUCAAGGGGAGCCCAAAUCCCUCGUUGGGGUCACAGAAACAAAUUUUGGGUGGUCGCAGCCUUGCCCAUCAGGUGCUGGAGUACCGGGUCCCCGUUCCCAGUACAAAAUCCUUCCUAAACCCUUUCCCGCAGCCCCUUGGCUUCAUCCUACCCCCAGCCCCAAAAGGAGGGGGUCCCUGAGGAUGCACUUUAACACUCCACCACUUCUCUUUUCCCACACCAAACCGCAUCACCCCCCCACCACCCCCCCAGGGAUUUAUUUCUGCCCGGUGCCUCCCGGGGGGGGGACCCCCAGACCCCGGCUGCGGGACCCCGCUACCCCCAGCCCCGAGCCGGCUGCGGAGCGGGGGUCUCGGGGCUGCCCCCCCCAGGUCCCGGAGCUCCCCCCCCUCCUCACCUCUCCCCAUUUCCCUGCCCCUCCCCGCAGCCCCGCGCACCGCCCCGGCCGCUUCCUUCCCUCCCUCCCCUUCCCGCGGCGCUGCCCGUCGGGACUCGUAGUCCUGCGGCUGCCGGCCCCGGCCAGGUCCGGUCCCGAGCUGCUCCCCCCGGCCCCGCUCCGCACCCCCCGGCCCGCUCCGCACCCCGCACCCCGCACCCCGCACCCCGCACCCCGCACCCCGCACCCCGCCUGUUGCUGCGCGCCCCGCUCCCGGCUCCUCGCCCCGCACCCGGCUCCGCGCUCCCCCUGUUGCUCCUCGCCCCGUUUCCAGCUCUGCGCCCUGCUCCCGGUUCCGCUCCCAGCCCCCGGUUCCGCUACCCGGCUCCGCACCCAGCUCCGCACCCCUCUCCAAGGGCCCUCUCCAAGGCUCCGCGCUCCCCCUGUUGCUUCUCGCCCUGUUUCCAACUGUGCGCCCUGCGCCCGGCUCUGCGCUCCCCCUGUUGCUCCGCGCCCCGUUCCCGGUUCCUCUCCCAGCCCCCGGUUCCGCACCCAGCCCCCGGUUCCGCUCCCAGCUCCGCUCCCGGUUCCUCGCCCCGCACCCGGCUCUGCGCCCCCCCCGUUGCUCCGCGCCCUGCUCCGUGCCCCCUUCCCAGCUCCUCUCCAUCUCCGCGCCCCAGCCCUUCUGCGCUCCCCCCGCGAAGCAGAACCCCCCCUACCCCGGGCUAUGGUCCUUGGGGGGCUGGGGAUGGUCCUCGGGGGGGCUCAGCCCCACUGCGGGCAUCGGGGCAGGAGCACGGAGCUGCUGCUCUCACCUUGCUGGGAGCUUCGUGGAGAGCUUUUGGCCAGGGAAAGGCAAAGCAGAGCCGUGGCCAAGGGGUCCCUUUAUUUUUUUUUUUUGGGGGGGGGCACUCGGGACAGGUCGUGGCCAUGA